GACGAACGCUGGCGGCGUGCUUAACACAUGCAAGUCGAGCGGUAAGGCCCUUUCGGGGGUACACGAGCGGCGAACGGGUGAGUAACACGUGGGUGACCUGCCCUUAGCUCUGGGAUAAGCCUGGGAAACUGGGUCUAAUACCGGAUAUGACUCCAUGACGCAUGUUGUGGGGUGGAAAGCCUUGUGCGGCUAGGGAUGGGCCCGCGGCCUAUCAGCUUGUUGGUGGGGUGAUGGCCUACCAAGGCGACGACGGGUAGCCGGCCUGAGAGGGCGACCGGCCACACUGGGACUGAGACACGGCCCAGACUCCUACGGGAGGCAGCAGUGGGAAUCUUGCGCAAUGGGCGAAAGCCUGACGCAGCGACGCCGCGUGAGGGAUGACGGCC
rnacentral:rRNA from 1 species